rnacentral:rRNA from 1 species
AGCAGCCGCGGUAAUUCCAGCUCCAAUAGCGUAUAUUAAAGUUGUUGCAGUUAAAAAGCUCGUAGUUGAAUUUCGGGAUCAGUACGCUGGUCGUGCCUUCGGUAUGAACUGGUGUCACUGGUUCCUCCCUUCUGAAGAACCGUCAUGCCAUUCAGUUGGUGUGGCGGGGAAUCAGGACUGUUACUUUGAAAAAUUAGAGUGUUUAAAGCAGGCUCGCGCUUGAAUACAUUAGCAUGGAAUAAUGAAAUAGGACGUUUGACCCUAUUUUGUUGGUUUCUAGGAUCGACGUAAUGAUUAAUAGGGAUAGUUGGGGGCAUUAGUAUUCAAUUGUCAGAGGUGAAAUUCUUGGAUUUAUUGAAGACUAACUACUGCGAAAGCAUUUGCCAAGGAUGUUUUCAUUAAUCAAGAACGAAAGUUAGGGGAUCGAAGACGAUCAGAUACCGUCGUAGUCUUAACCAUAAACUAUGCCGACUAGGGAUCGGAUGAUGUUAAUUUUUAAUGACUCAUUCGGCGCCUUAAC